AUUGAACGCUGGCGGCAGGCCUAACACAUGCAAGUCGAACGAGUGGCGGACGGGUGAGUAAUGUCUGGGAAACUGCCUGAUUGAGGGGGAUAACUACUGGAAACGGUAGCUAAUACCGCAUACCAUCAGAUGUGCCGAGAGGGGAUUAGAUAGUUGGUGUGGUAACGGCUCACAAAGGCGACGAUCCCAAGCUGGUCUGAGAGGAUGACCAGCCACACUGGAACUGAGACACGGUCCAGACUCCUACGGGAGGCAGCAGUGGGGAAUAUUGCACAAUGGGCGCAAGCCUGAUGCAGCCAUGCCGCGUGUAUGAAGAAGGCUUUCGGGUUGUAAAGUACUUUCAGCGGUGAGGCGUUACCCGCAGAGGAAGCACCGGCUAACUCCGUGCCAGCAGCCGCGGUAAUAC
rnacentral:rRNA from 1 species